rnacentral:lncRNA from 1 species
ACACCAGAGAGUCUCGAUGAGAGACGGAGACUCGAGUCUCGCUUUCAGAGACUCUGAGAGACUAAACAUUUUUAUGUCGGGGUGGGCCUGUCUAGUACUAGGAUGAUUCCAGAAUGUAAGAUCUAGAGACUCUCGUCUUUUUGGUUAUUAGUGCAAUUUAGGUAACCCAUUAUAGGUCUCUUGGCGCUUCUCGUAUAAUGGGCAACUUACAUGUGCUUAUUUGGAAAAUAUUUUCGAUCACAGUUGACGAACCAUGGACAUUUACUGAUAUGUUUAAUCGUAUAAUUUCUGAUUGGCCUAGAGCUUGAGGCCACCGAUAUCGGAUCAAUUCCAAGCCUGUCUAUCCUGGUCCAAGUUUUCGUGGAUAAUUUAGACAAAUAUUCGGACAGUCACCACCCUACAUUCUCAAAAGGACUUCCCGACCUACCCUCCGGUUUUGCACUACAUUAUUUAUGGGUUGGAAUGACUAACCAGCAUUAGCCAGUGAGAAUAAAUCAACCAAAAAAGUUUUUUGUCAAAUGGGGGAGUGCAGUACCCAUCAAAAGGAAAGAGUAUUAAAACGGCAGCUGAUCCCCCCCCCCCUUUCGACGUCUGUAAGUUCUUCAACUUGUUUGGAGAUCAAUUCGGAGUUGAAGAAGAUUCUCAAUUCUCAUACGUUUUCCAUUUCUACCUGGAAAUGAGAUUGGUUCAUGUAAGGUUCCAACUCAACCCUCUCAGUUUUAAUCCACUAACCAAGAAUUAAGGUUCCAUUGGUAUAGCUUUUAAACGACUUUUUGAACGGAUCCUAAUGUGGGUUUCGAUAUUGGUGAGGGUGAUAUUUAAUGGAAGAACGAAGGCAUGAACCAUUAACCAUGGGUUAAGGACGCCGGAAGGAUAAUAUCAAGUCAUAGAUACCAAUUUCUGUGAGAUUGUUACUCCUUGAGGACCCAUUUGGACCGUACGUCACUGAUGGGAGCUUGUAUCAUCACAAAAAUCUAUAAACGUAGUUAAUUAACCAUUAAUUAUUUAUUAGUAGCAGGUAUCUUACUUACAAAAAAAUUAAAUUUUUGGCAAAAUUACGUUGCUAUUUCUGCAUAGAUUUGCUAUGACAUUAAGACUAUUAAUGUACAUAUGAGGUCAGUGUUUAAUACCAAAGGUGAGUGAGUAAUUAUUUCGGAAUGAUAUUCGGUUUUCACACUGUUUUGGCCACUGCGGUCCUACGCUUAUUCCGACGAGUUUGUACGGGAAGUCAUGUGACAGUAUACACAUACGUAUACAUAAAUACAUGCAUACAUUCAUACGUACAUAUACAAAUAUAAAUUCGUAAGUAACAAACCGAUGCUAGAGGUUUAGAUGGACGGCCCUUUAAAUUUUAAAUGUCUGCAUACAUAAUGCACAUGUACACAUAUGUGUCUGUCUCAUACAUAUAUGUAUACGUGUAGACAACUACGGCGCAUCAAUUGCUUAAACUUUUAGCGGAAUAGACUGACAAUGAGUUGAAUACGAGCUCAAGCACAAAAAUUUUCCGGCCGGAUCAUGCGAAUGAUUAUGAAGCGAAAAGGUUAUAGCUUUGGACAAUGUAGCUUUGGAGCAGAGCUAAAAACUUGUAACAGAAGAAGUCACUAAAAGAACUUACUUUAAAGCCCUGGCAAACCCACUUAAGAUGCCGGAUUAUUGACAAAAAACUUUAUUAUUAUUUGUCUACACAUUUUGUAAAUCAGUAAAUAUACUUAGUCAUAUUGAUGUAUCACGUAAAUGUUAUUACUUUUGGACCGUUCCUCGUAUAAACUGGAUUUAAUCCAAUGGUAUAUAUCGCUGAAACCCUUGACCUAAUAUGAAGUCUUCUUCCUGUGCGACCGACCAGACUCUAGACGGUCUAGCCAUGUAUUCAAUUAGACCGAAAAUAUUUUUUAACAACACAUUAGGAGUAAAUAAUAAAUUGGGUAGCGUGUGUAUAGGAACAUACAAACCAAAACGCGAUUGCUGAGAACGAAUUUAUGACACUGCUUUCUUAGCGUAUCUUUGACCAAACUUGUAUAACUGACGAGAUAAUCAAAUUGAGCUUUUUCGAGAUUUUAGUUUUCUUUUUAAUGGGAUUUCUAGGUGGUUUCAAAUUGAGCUUUUCUGAAACUUUAGUUUUCUUUUUAAUGGGAUUUCUAGGUGGUU